rnacentral:rRNA from 1 species
GCGAUACGUAAUGUGAAUUGCAGAAUUCAGUGAAUCAUCGAGUCUUUGAACGCACAUUGCGCCCCCUGGUAUUCCGGGGGGCAUGCCUGUCCGAGCGUCAUUGCUGCCCUCAAGCACGGCUUGUGUGUUGGGCCUCCGUCCUCCUCCCGGGGGACGGGCCCGAAAGGCAGCGGCGGCACCGCGUCCGGUCCUCGAGCGUAUGGGGCUUCGUCACCCGCUCUUGUAGGCCCGGCCGGCGCUUGCCGACACAUCAAUCUUUUUUCCAGGUUGACCUCGGAUCAGGUAGGGAUACCCGCUGAACUUAAGCAUAUCAAUAAGCGGAGGAAA